UAGUAAUGCAGUAUUGUGUUGGAAAUUUUGCCAUGUGUUUCACAAGCUACUUAGAGAUGGACACCCCAAUGUUCUGAAGGACUCUCUGCGUUAUAAAAAUGAGCUAAUUGACAUGUGCAGGAUGUGGGGCCACCUUAGCGAAGGCUACGGACAACUUUGCAGCAUUUACCUCAAGCUGCUAAAUACAAAAAUGGAGUUUCACACAAAGAAUCCACGUUUCCCUGGUAACCUGCAGAUGACGGACAGACAACUAGAUGAGGCUGGAGAGAAU